rnacentral:lncRNA from 1 species
CUAAAGAAGGAUUCCUUCCCAGAUCCGACCCGGUUGAAGAUCGGGUCGGGUCUGAGUCGGGUUCGGAUCCGAAUCAGGUCCAUUUCUUUUGUGCUUUUGGGAAAUAAUUUUGGGGCAAAUCUAAUUUGGCCAUAUCAUAACUAUGAGGUGCUGGGUGACCCAUGAAAGACUUGCAAUAGACCUCCGGUAAGAACAAAUGAUCCGUGAUGAACUGAGUCCAUCCGUUUACAAACCAAAUUUCACAUCACACUAUUUGUUUUUUUUUUAUCUAUACGACUGAACUUGGUGUCUCCCAGCUCCCAUAUCAGGAGGGCCAAAGAUCGCACAAUGCCUCCCUCUUCAGGAUUCGAGAGCCCCAUCACCCAACUUCCUUCCAAAUCAGUCAAUCCAUCCAGGCUCUUCUUCAAUUCCACGUCAGCUCCCAGCGUCCGCGUGCCACAACGUCCACGAUACUCCACCAUCCCGUGAUCCACGUCCGCCCACUCCAUCCGUCCGUGGGCCAAAGAAGAAAUCCCAGUUUCUUCCGCCCGGAUCCAAGCCGUGACCGCCUCCUGCAAGCGGAAUCCAAGCAUCGCGUCCAGCCAUCCCGCCGAUCACGACUGCAGCUCCUCCGCCUCUGCUCCCUUCCGUUUCCGCAUCCAAGCAUGCGUGGCAUUCAACCUCCAGCCCUUCAUCCGAAUCAAAGAUCUCAGCCUCAUUCGUCCGUGAGCCCAUUCCGCACAUUCCAGCACCCGUCAACGAUCAAGCCGUGAUGCAAGCCAUGAUCCGGCGUCCUCCCAUCGAUCACGGCAGACCCCAGCUGCCUUCCGCU